CCCCUCUCAGGAUCACACCUGGAGAGUUUCCAGUACUCUAUUAGUCUUGGUUGAGGGAGGAAGAGUCAAGCAGAGGCAUAUCCAUUCCAUUCUUAACUUGGGCAGUGGCUAGAAAAUGGAAGGCAAUCUGCUACAAGU